rnacentral:tRNA from 1 species
UCCCUGGAGGACUAGUGGUUAGGCCACAGCACUCUCACUGCUGCAGCCUGGGUUCAAUUCCCGGCUAGAGAA